UACGUAGGAGGCGAGCGUUGUCCGGAGUUACUGGGCGUAAAGGGUGCGCAGGCGGUGGCCCGCGUGGGCGGUGAAAGCUCCUGGCUCAACUGGGAGAGGGCCGUCCAGACGGGGUCACUUGAGGGGCGGAGAGGGGCGUGGAAUUCCGGGUGGAGCGGUGAAAUGCGUAGAGAUCCGGAGGAACACCGACGGCGUAGGCAGCGCCCUAGACGAGACCUGACGCUCAGGCACGAAAGCGCGGGGAGCGAACAGG
rnacentral:rRNA from 1 species